GGGCAGCAGGACUGUAGCAAUACAGUUGCUGGCGACCGGCAAACGGGUGCGGAACACGUACGCAACUUACCCUUGUCUGGGGCAUAGCCCGGGGAAACCCGGAUUAACUCCCCAUAAGAUAGUGGUGUGGCAUCACACAGCUAUUAAAACUUUGGUGGACAGGGAUGGGCGUGCGGCUGAUUAGGUAGUUGGUGUGGGUAACGGCCUACCAAGCCUGCGAUCAGUAACUGGUGUGAGAGCACGACCAGUCACACGGGCACUGAGACACGGGCCCGACUCCUACGGGAGGCAGCAGUAAGGAAUAUUGGUCAAUGGACGCAAGUCUGAACCAGCCAUGCCGCGUGGAGGAUGAAGGCCCUCUGGGUUGUAAACUUCUUUUACAGGGGACGAAACACUCUUUUUCUAGAGAGCUUGACGGUACCCUGGGAAUAAGCACCGGCUAACUCCGUGCCAGCAGCCGCGGUAAUACGGAGGGUGCAAGCGUUAUCCGGAUUCACUGGGUUUAAAGGGUGCGUAGGCGGGCUUGUAAGUCCGUGGUGAAAUCUCUGAGCUUAACUCGGAAACUGCCAUGGAUACUAUGGGUCUUGAAUACUCGGGAGGUGAGCGGAAUAUGUCAUGUAGCGGUGAAAUGCUUAGAUAUGACAUAGAACACCAAUUGCGAAGGCAGCUUGCUACAGAGUUAUUGAC
rnacentral:rRNA from 1 species